UGCAAGUCGAACGCGAAAGUCCCGCAAGGGAUUAGUAGAGUGGCAAACGGGUGAGUAACACGUGGGUGACCUGCCUUCGAGUGGGGGAUAACGUCCCGAAAGGGACGCUAAUACCGCAUGACAUCCUGCCUUUGAAGAGGCGGAGAUCAAAGCUGGGGAUCGCAAGACCAAGCGCUCAAAGAGGGGCCCGCGCCUGAUUAGCUAGUUGGCGAGGUAACGGCUCACCAAGGCAUCGAUCAGUAUCCGGCCUGAGAGGGCGGACGGACACACUGGGACUGAGACACGGCCCAGACUCCUACGGGAGGCAGCAGUGGGGAAUUGUUCGCAAUGGGCGCAAGCCUGACGACGCAACGCCGCGUGGAGGAUGAAGACCUUCGGGUCGUAAACUCCUUUCGAUCGAGACGAAUGGCCUCCGGGUUAACAGCUCGGAGGAGUGACGGUACCGAGAGAAGAAGCCCCGGCUAACUCCGUGCCAGCAGCCGCGGUAAUACGGGGGGGGCAAGCGUUGUUCGGAAUUACUGGGCGUAAAGGGCUCGUAGGCGGCCAACUAAGUCAGACGUGAAAUCCCUCGGCUUAACCGGGGAACUGCAUCUGAUACUGGAUGGCUUGAGUUCGGGAGAGGGAUGUGGAAUUCCAGGUGUAGCGGUGAAAUGCGUAGAUAUCUGGAGGAACACCGGUGGCGAAGGCGGCAUCCUGGACCGACACUGACGCUGAGGAGCGAAAGCCAGGGGAGCAAACGGGAUUAGAUACCCCGGUAGUCCUGGCCCUAAACGAUGAAUGCUUGGUGUGGCGGGUAUCGAUCCCUGCCGUGCCGAAGCUAACGCAUUAAGCAUUCCGCCUGGGGAGUACGGUCGCAAGGCUG
rnacentral:rRNA from 1 species